GAUAAACGCUGGCGGCGUGCCUAAUACAUGCAAGUCGAGCGAACAGACGAGGAGCUUGCUCCUUUGACGUUAGCGGCGGACGGGUGAGUAACACGUGGGUAACCUACCUAUAAGACUGGGAUAACUUCGGGAAACCGGAGCUAAUACCGGAUAAUAUUUCGAACCGCAUGGUUCGAUAGUGAAAGAUGGCUUUGCUAUCACUUAUAGAUGGACCUGCGCCGUAUUAGCUAGUUGGUAAGGUAACGGCUUACCAAGGCAACGAUACGUAGCCGACCUGAGAGGGUGAUCGGCCACACUGGAACUGAGACACGGUCCAGACUCCUACGGGAGGCAGCAGUAGGGAAUCUUCCGCAAUGGGCGAAAGCCUGACGGAGCAACGCCGCGUGAGUGAUGAAGGUCUUCGGAUCGUAAAACUCUGUUAUUAGGGAAGAACAAACGUGUAAGUAACUGUGCACGUCUUGACGGUACCUAAUCAGAAAGCCACGGCUAACUACGUG
rnacentral:rRNA from 1 species